ACGCGUUAAGUAGACCGCCUGGGGAGUACGGUCGCAAGAUUAAAACUCAAAUGAAUUGACGGGGGCCCGCACAAGCGGUGGAGCAUGUGGUUUAAUUCGAUGCAACGCGAAGAACCUUACCUACUCUUGACAUCCAGAGAACUUUCCAGAGAUGGAUUGGUGCCUUCGGGAACUCUGAGACAGGUGCUGCAUGGCUGUCGUCAGCUCGUGUUGUGAAAUGUUGGGUUAAGUCCCGCAACGAGCGCAACCCUUAUCCUUGUUUGCCAGCGAGUAAUGUCGGGAACUCCAGGGAGACUGCCGGUGAUAAACCGGAGGAAGGUGGGGACGACGUCAAGUCAUCAUGGCCCUUACGAGUAGGGCUACACACGUGCUACAAUGGCGCAUACAGAGGGCAGCAAGCUAGCGAUAGUGAGCGAAUCCCAAAAAGUGCGUCGUAGUCCGGAUUGGAGUCUGCAACUCGACUCCAUGAAGUCGGAAUCGCUAGUAAUCGUGGAUCAGAAUGCCACGGUGAAUACGUUCCCGGGCCUUGUACACACCGCCCGUCACACCAUGGGAGUGGGCUGCAAAAGAAGUAGGUAGUUUAACCUUCGGGAGGACGCUUACCACUUUGUG
rnacentral:rRNA from 1 species